AUAUUCUAAAAUGUUGUAAAAAUAAAUCUAUUUAAAGGUUGUUCUAGUAAGCAUUGUGAUGUACACCUACUAAUUGAAAAACAAUAGCCGCUAAAGUGUUUGCAGUUCUUUAUAUUUUGAUCAAUUCUAUUAUUUGUCUGUGUUUAAUAUUUGCGUAUAUUUUGUGUCCUGACAUGUUUUUACAGCUUUUAUGGUGGAAAUUGAAACACGUAAACUCAUGGUUUCUUCUGUAAAAAAAGUGUUUCUGUUUCAGGGACUGGCGUCCUCUAGAUACCAUCUGCCAGAUUGAAGCAGCAGAUUUCUUGAGCGUUCCCUUAUUCUGAGAGUACAGCAAACCUACUCAUAGCUCAAUUAAUCUGUCUUUAAAAUCUCAGUAAUAGCUGAAAUAUAGCGUGGAACUCAAAUUCAAUGCGUCAUCUUUUCUCAGCUAGUCUUGUCAAGAUAUUUCCACAUGUCAAAAGGGGGAGGUACACUGACAUAUAACAUUAUUACAAAUACCCCUCAUAGACAUGAUCUCAAGGGCCACAAAACCAAAAAGGGGCAUGUCUGGCUAUAUAGCAAACUUCAUGAAGAAUCUAGGUAUUUUACUCAUUUUAAGCUGCUGGCCUCUCGUUACUGAUAAUUUCCCAGGCCUGGGAAGAGUAAGCCUGGAGGUCCAAUGACUUAUAGAGUGCAUAAUGUCCAAACUCUUAGGAACUGAAAAUCUGUCAAUCAAAGAAGCUUACUUGCCAUCUCUUUCAAUCCUGCGAAACCACAGGCAAAAGUUUACUUUAGUACAUAAGAGGAUAUCAAGAAUUUUAAAACUGUUUUAUUGCUGUUCCCUAAACCUUGCAUAAUACUGUUGGACUUACCACAUAAGCAGUAAUUUUAUGACACACAAGGGGGUUUCUGGUAGUUGUAGUUCAACUGUAAGAAUGCAUGGAAAGCCACAGAUAGUUAACAGCAGAACUACAACUCUCAAUAAUCAAAGUCAUGGCAUCGUGUUCAGCAGUAUAAAG